rnacentral:rRNA from 1 species
ACCUUGGUGAGUGGCGGACGGGUGAGUAACACGUGGGUAACCUGCCCAAAAGUGGGGGAUAACAUUUGGAAACAAGUGCUAAUACCGCAUAACAACUACUUUCACAUGAUCGUAGCUUGAAAGAUGGCUCUGCUAUCGCUUUUGGAUGGACCCGCGGCGUAUUAGCUAGUUGGUGAGGUAAUAGCUCACCAAGGCAAUGAUACGUAGCCGACCUGAGAGGGUAAUCGGCCACAUUGGGACUGAGACACGGCCCAAACUCCUACGGGAGGCAGCAGUAGGGAAUCUUCCACAAUGGGCGAAAGCCUGAUGGAGCAAUGCCGCGUGAGUGAAGAAGGUUUUCGGAUCGUAAAACUCUGUUGUUGAAGAAGAACAUGCGUGAGAGUAACUGUUCACGUACUGACGGUAUUCAACCAGAAAGCCACGGCUAACUACGUGCCAGCAGCCGCGGUAAUACGUAGGUGGCAAGCGUUGUCCGGAUUUAUUGGGCGUAAAGAGAAUGUAGGCGGUUUAUUAAGUUUGAA